rnacentral:lncRNA from 1 species
ACAGUACUGUAAUUGCACAGAUUGUUCCUCUUACAAGAGAAAUAUCCAGAGCUCUAAGAAAACAACUGAUGAAAACGACAUGCGUGACAUUUGGUGCUGAAGACCCGGGUCAGAGAGACUCCUUUGGGGGACCAGUCCCCUGUCCUUGCCCUCACUCCGUGAGGAGACCCACCUACGACCUCAGGUCCUCAGACCAACCAGCUCAAGGAACAUCUCACCAAUUUCAAAUCGGGACCCCACUGGAAAUUGGACUGUCCAACUCACCCAACAGCCACUCCCAGAGCCCCUGGAACUCUGGCCCAAGGCUCUCUGACUGACUCCUUCCCAGAUCUUCUCGGCUCAGCAGCUGAAGACUGACACUGCUUGAUUGCCUGGGAAGCCUAUGGGACCAUCACAGACACUUUGGAUAACUCUUACGGUGAAGGACAAAAGAGCGCCACCGCAGGGAGGAAUGCCAGGGUCCCAUAGAGGGAGACCGACAGUGAAGUGGAGCCUGCCAUGAAUUCACCAAAGGCCAUUCUCCCUUUCUUCCAGAAGAACAGCAUUUAGCUGGGCCUAUGGCUACCUACCUAAAGACUGCACCUCUUAGUCACCCUUGUGGCUAGGUGUGGCCACGUGACAAUGGAAUGUAAGUGGAAGUGAUGUAUGCACUUGGGUUCAUUGGUUUUAAAAAAAAUAUGACCGCCCUACAUUUCCACUCUUUGUCUUAUCUGUGAAUGGGAACAUGGCUGUGUCUGCAGCCCGACUUUGUGCAGCAAAGUACAAGGCCCUAGGGGAAGGUGGAGAAACAAGAUGGAACAACUUGGACCCAACAACUUGGAUCCCUAUGUGGCCAUGUGGAGUCAUCUCACCCACCUGGGCCACUCACCCCGAAGACUGUUGUGUGAGGGUGAAAUAAACUUCUGUAUCACUAGCCCCUGCAUUUCAGAAAUUCUUUGUUAUGGCAGUUUUGCCUUUAUCCUAACACAGACAGCAAAGUAUCUUCUGUGGCCCCAUGACUAAUAUCGUUGUUUAAACUCAUUAUAAAAACUGUAUAAAUAAAAUAUUAAAAAUCAAAUAAAAUAGCAAGAUAACACUGUGUAA